UACGAAGGUGGCAAGCGUUGUUCGGAUUUACUGGGCGUAAAGGGAGCGUAGGUGGUGCGGUAAGCCCUCCGGGAAAGCUUCAGGCUUAACCUGAAAAGGUCGGGGGGGACUGCCACGCUAGAGGACGGGAGAGGAUGGCGGAAUUCCCGGUGUAGCAGUGAAAUGCGUAGAGAUCGGGAGGAACAUCUGUGGCGAAGGCGGCCAUCUGGACCAGCACUGACACUGAGGCACGAAAGCGUGGGGAGCAAACAGGG
rnacentral:rRNA from 1 species